UUUCCUGAGUGGUGUGUGUGUGUGUGUGUGUGUGUACGUACACACACACACACACAUGAGAUUGGGAGA